rnacentral:rRNA from 1 species
AACGAACGCUGGCGGCAUGCCUAACACAUGCAAGUCGAACGAGACCUUCGGGUCUAGUGGCGCACGGGUGCGUAACGCGUGGGAACCUGCCCUUAGGUUCGGAAUAACUCCCCGAAAGGGGUGCUAAUACCGGAUAAUGUCUUCGGACCAAAGAUUUAUCGCCUUUGGAUGGGCCCGCGUUGGAUUAGCUUGUUGGUAGGGUAAAAGCCUACCAAGGCGACGAUCCAUAGCUUGUCUGAGAGGAUGAUCAGCCACACUGGGACUGAGACACGGCCCAGACUCCUACGGGAGGCAGCAGUGGGGAAUAUUGGACAAUGGGCGAAAGCCUGAUCCAGCAAUGCCGCGUGAGUGAUGAAGGCCUUAGGGUUGUAAAGCUCUUUUACCCGGGAUGAUAAUGACAGUACCGGGAGAAUAAGCUCCGGCUAACUCCGUG